AUUGAACGCUGGCGGCAUGCCUUACACAUGCAAGUCGAACGGUAACGCGGGGCAACCUGGCGACGAGUGGCGAACGGGUGAGUAAUGCAUCGGAACGUGCCCAGUUGUGGGGGAUAACUGCUCGAAAGAGCAGCUAAUACCGCAUGCGACCUGAGGGUGAAAGCGGGGGAUCGCAAGACCUCGCGCAAUUGGAGCGGCCGAUGUCGGAUUAGCUAGUUGGUGGGGUAAAGGCCCACCAAGGCGACGAUCCGUAGCUGGUCUGAGAGGACGACCAGCCACACUGGGACUGAGACACGGCCCAGACUCCUACGGGAGGCAGCAGUGGGGAAUUUUGGACAAUGGACGAAAGUCUGAUUCAGCCAUGCCGCGUGCGGGAAGAAGGCCUUCGGGUUGUAAACCGCUUUUGUCAGGGAAGAAAUCUUCUGGGUUAAUACCUCGGGAGGAUGACGGUACCUGAAGAAUAAGCACCGGCUAACUACGUGCCAGCCGCCGCCGUAACAC
rnacentral:rRNA from 1 species